GACAAAGGCAGAGAUAAACCAAGUGAAGCUCAUGACUCGUCCUCUUUCCUCCAUCUCUCUUAUUUGAUUUCCUUUUUCUUUCUUAAAGGAGAAUUCAAUUCUUGUCCUCAAAGGUGAUGAGAAGACACGAGGCAGUUGGAUUUUUUUAAACGAUCUUCACAUUUUUAACUGCUCUUUGGAUCUAGCAGCUGUCCGAAGGAUGUACUAUAUAUCUGAACUAAUGAUGAAACACUCAGAUUAACUAUUUAUCAUAGACUGGGCAGAAAUUCAGGACUUUUUUGGUCUUUUUCCUAACGGACUAAUGUCGAUUUUAAUACUUUUUCUACUGAAUUUUGAUGGGAUUUUGAUAUCAAGGAUUAAGGACGUAACCGGACACUUUGUCUUUUAGUUGAUAUAGUAUUUAUGAUCGCUACAAUUUGUCCAAUCUACACAUAGAUAGUGUCACCCAUUAUUGAGGGUUAAAUAGUCACGAAGACAGCAGACGAAGGAGACUUCUAAGCAACACAUUCCGCGUCGGGAAAAAACGAAAGAAAAGAAGAAAAAAGUGGCGCUUUGCAGAGACAGAGCAAUUACCUGGCCAAUGUUGCUUUAGCCCUUGACCCUUUCAAGGAUUUGACGCUCCCGCCGUUUUCUCUAAAACCGCCUUCACCCUCUCUCAGUCUGAGGCUAUGAGAGGGAGAGAGGAGUCUCAGCCCACACCAUCAUGCUACUUCUGAGAAGCAGGGAUGAGAUUUGGGCUGGCAAUACACAAGGUAUCUCGCUCUCCCUCCUCCACCAUGCCUGCCUGCGGCCUCCUCGGCCCCUCCCCCCUUCAGGAACGCCGCUCCCCCCCUUCCCCUCCCCCCGCCGCUACGCCCCAGCCCC